GACGAACGCUGGCGGCGUGCUUAACACAUGCAAGUCGAACGGAAAGGCCCUGCUUUUGUGGGGUGCUCGAGUGGCGAACGGGUGAGUAACACGUGAGUAACCUGCCCUUGACUUUGGGAUAACAUAAGGAAACUGGGGCUAAUAUCGGAUAGGAGCUCUUGCUGCACGGUGGGGGAUGGAAAGUUUUGGCGGUUGGGGAUGGACUCGCGGCUCAUCAGCUUGUUGGUGGGGUAGUGGCUUACCAAGGCUUUGACGGGUAGCCGGCCUGGGAGGGUGACCGGCCACAUUGGGACUGGGAUACGGCCCAGAGUCCUACGGGGGGCAGCAGUGGGAGAUAGUGCACGAUGGGCGGAAGCCGGAUGCAGCGACGCCGCGUGCGGGAUGACGGCCUUCGGGGUGUAAACCGCUUUCGCCUGUGACGAAGCGUGAGUGACGGUAAUGAGUAAAGAAGCACCGGCUAACUACGUG
rnacentral:rRNA from 1 species